UGGGGAAUAUUGCACAAUGGGGGAAACCCUGAUGCAGCGACGCCGCGUGGAGGAUGACGGCCUUCGGGUUGUAAACUCCUUUUGUCAGGGACAAUGGUGAUGGUACCUGACGAAUAAGCCACGGCUAACUCUGUGCCAGCAGCCGCGGCAAGACAGAGGUGGCGAGCGUUGUUCGGAAUUACUGGGCUUAAAGGGCGCGUAGGCGGUGGUGGAAGUCUGGGGUGGAAUGCUACAGCUCAACUGUAGAGCUGCCUUGGAAACUGCAUUACUUGAGUCGGUGAGGGGAAGGCGGAAUUCCUGGUGUAGCGGUGAAACGCGUAGAUAUCAGGAGGAAGGUCUGUGGCGAAGGCGGCCUUCUGGCACUUGACUGACGCUGAGGCGCGAAAGCGUGGGGAGCAAACAG
rnacentral:rRNA from 1 species